CCUACGGGAGGCAGCAGUGAGGAAUAUUGGUCAAUGGGCGCAAGCCUGAACCAGCCAUGCCGCGUGCAGGAUGAAGCAUCUAUGGUGUGUAAACUGCUUUUGUACGGGAAGAAACACCGAUUCGUGAAUCGGCUUGACGGUACCGUAAGAAUAAGGACCGGCUAACUCCGUGCCAGCAGCCGCGGUAAUACGGAGGGUCCAAGCGUUAUCCGGAAUCAUUGGGUUUAAAGGGUCCGUAGGCGGCCAGGUAAGUCAGUGGUGAAAGCCCAUCGCUCAACGGUGGAACGGCCAUUGAUACUGCCAGGCUUGAAUUUCUGGGAAGUAACUAGAAUAUGUAGUGUAGCGGUGAAAUGCUUAGAUAUUACAUGGAAUACCAAUUGCGAAGGCAGGUUACUACCAGUGGAUUGACGCUGAUGGACGAAAGCGUGGGUAGCGAACAGGAUUAGAUACCCUGGUAGUCCACGCCGUAAACGAUGGAUACUAGCUGUUCGGGGCAACCUGAGUGGCGUAGACGAAGUAGAGUAAGUAGUACCGACCGUCGGGAGGUACGGGCGGCGAGACCGUUGAACGUACGAAGUUAGUAAGUUAGACGGCGUGAGACGNGCCGACGGACGACGACGAGGGAGGAGG
rnacentral:rRNA from 1 species